rnacentral:rRNA from 1 species
AGGUGCCCGUACCGCAAACCGACACAGGUAGUCAAGAUGAGAAUUCUAAGGUGAGCGAGCGAACUCUCGUUAAGGAACUCGGCAAAAUGACCCCGUACCUUCGGUAUAAGGGGUGCUCAUCCCGCGAGGGAUGAGCCGCAGAGAAUCGGCUCUAGCGACUGUUUAUCAAAAACACAGGUCUCCGCGAAGUCGAAAGACAAUGUAUGGGGGCUGACGCCUGCCCAGUGCCGGAAGGUUAAAG